UCCGGCUUGUCGCCGGCAGUCUCUCUAGAGUCCCCACCAUUACGUGCUGGCAACUAAAGACGGGGGUUGCGCUCGUUGCGGAACUUAAUCCAACACCUCACGACACGAGCUGACGACAGCCAUGCACCACCUGUGUAGGGCCCCGAAGGACACCGUAUCUCUACGGCUUUUCCCUACAUGUCAAGCCCAGGUAAGGUUCUUCGCGUUGCAUCGAAUUAAGCCACAUGCUCCACCGCUUGUGCGGGCCCCCGCCAAUUCCUUUGAGUUUCAACCUUGCGGCCGUAGUCCCCAGGCGGUUCACUUAAUGCGUUAGCUGCGGCACCGAGGGUUACCCCCCGACACCUAGUGAACAUCGUUUACGGCGUGGACUAC
rnacentral:misc_RNA from 1 species